rnacentral:rRNA from 1 species
UACGUAGGGGGCUAGCGUUGUCCGGAUUUAUUGGGCGUAAAGAGCUCGUAGGCGGUCUGUCGCGUCGGUCGUGAAAACCUGCAGCUUAACUGUGGGCUUGCGGUCGAUACGGGCAUGACUGGAGUUCGGCAGGGGAGACUGGAAUUCCUGGUGUAGCGGUGAAAUGCGCAGAUAUCAGGAGGAACACCGGUGGCGAAGGCGGGUCUCGUGGGCCGUAACUGACGCUGAGGAGCGAAAGCAUGGGGAGCGAACAGG